CGAGCGGACAGAUGGGAGCUUGCUCCCUGAUGUUAGCGGCGGACGGGUGAGUAACACGUGGGUAACCUGCCUGUAAGACUGGGAUAACUCCGGGAAACCGGGGCUAAUACCGGAUGGUUGUUUGAACCGCAUGGUUCAAACAUAAAAGGUGGCUUCGGCUACCACUUACAGAUGGACCCGCGGCGCAUUAGCUAGUUGGUGAGGUAACGGCUCACCAAGGCAACGAUGCGUAGCCGACCUGAGAGGGUGAUCGGCCACACUGGGACUGAGACACGGCCCAGACUCCUACGGGAGGCAGCAGUAGGGAAUCUUCCGCAAUGGACGAAAGUCUGACGGAGCAACGCCGCGUGAGUGAUGAAGGUUUUCGGAUCGUAAAGCUCUGUUGUUAGGGAAGAACAAGUACCGUUCGAAUAGGGCGGUACCUUGACGGUACCUAACCAGAAAGCCACGGCUAACUACGUGCCAGCAGCCGCGGUAAUACGUAGGUGGCAAGCGUUGUCCGGAAUUAUUGGGCGUAAAGGGCUCGCAGGCGGUUUCUUAAGUCUGAUGUGAAAGCCCCCGGCUCAACCGGGGAGGGUCAUUGGAAACUGGGGAACUUGAGUGCAGAAGAGGAGAGUGGAAUUCCACGUGUAGCGGUGAAAUGCGUAGAGAUGUGGAGGAACACCAGUGGCGAAGGCGACUCUCUGGUCUGUAACUGACGCUGAGGAGCGAAAGCGUGGGGAGCGAACAGGAUUAGAUACCCUGGUAGUCCACGCCGUAAACGAUGAGUGCUAAGUGUUAGGGGGUUUCCGCCCCUUAGUGCUGCAGCUAACGCA
rnacentral:rRNA from 1 species